rnacentral:misc_RNA from 1 species
UCCAAUCCGUUAGUUGGUGCGACGCUAUUCAAAGCCUCUUGACAUAUCCCCUUAAACUAAAGAAAAUUUUAGUGGAGACUUAUAAUUAAUUCUAUCUCUUUCAUCCGGUUGCAUUGAAUCGAACACGCAAAUCAUUGUAAUUCUUUCGCAAUGGGUAUUACGGAGGAAUAUUACCACGAAUGGAAGACGUCGUCGAAGAAGACCACCACCAUGACGACUGCUCCGGCCAAGCUCUACGGAAAGAAUCUGAGCGAGUACGACGAUCUGGACGUCGAUCAAUUACUUUCUCAACUGUCACCGGAAGAGAUAAGCAUUUUGUCCAAGGAAGUCGAUCCCGAUGAUAACUUAUUACCACCUUCAGAGCGUUGUAGUUAUGAAUGUGACAAAGAAGCCACUGGACCAUUAAAUAGGAAAAAAUUAAUUGAACAUAUUAACAAGCAAGCUCUUGAAACCCCAGAUCUACCUGAACAUAAACCAUAUGUCCCUGGAACUGUCAGAGGAAAAAAAUGGGUUGCACCUGAAACCAAUGGUAAAAGUGAACAUGAAGAUAAAAUUGCUAUUGAUCUUGAUGAUGAGUAUGGUGAUGCACUGAAUAAUGCAUCACAAGAAGAAAUCAUAGAUUUAGCUGCUAUACUUGGAUUCCAUUCAAUGAUGAAUCAAGACCAGUAUCAUGCUUCAUUAUUAAAUAAAGGUCAACCAGUUGGCUUAGGAUGGGACGGUAUUACUAAAUCUACUCAACCAAAGGUUUAUCCUCCAGAGCCCCCCAACCAAACAGACCCUGAAGAAAGUAUUAAGCGAGUACGUGAUGAUGAUCCUAAGUUACUUGAUUUAAAUUGGAAUAACAUUAAGAAUAUUUCCGAUGAAAAGUUUGAGAAUCUAUUUAAUGCUUUAGUAGAGAAUACUCACUUAGAAACAUUGAGUUUGGUAAAUGUAGGACUUACUGAUCGGUUAGCUGGUAAGCUAUCUGAAGCAUUAGAGAAAAAUUGUACGUUGCGUGUUUGCAAUGUGGAAACAAAUUUCAUCAGUCCUGUUGGAAUAGUUCGUUUAGUUAAGUCCUUAUUGAAACAGAGGUCUCUAGAAGAGUUCCGUGCUACCAACCAGAGAUCCCAAAUAUUGGGAAAUAAAAUUGAAAUGGAAAUUACUAAAUUGAUUGAACAAAACCCAACCAUUCUAAGACUUGGUUUGCAUUUGGAGUAUAAUGAUGCUCGUCAUCGUAUUGCUUCCCAUUUACAACACAAUAUUGACAGGAUAAGGAAAGAUACGCCGUUGAAAAUGAAAUUUAGGUUUUUUAGAAAAACACCCCAGAAGCAUCGCAAGAACUUGAUCAAAUAAAUGAUCAGUGGAUCACAUUAUUGAGUACGCCAGAGUCGUGUGGGCGCAAACUCCGCAUAAAUUACAUAUUUUGGCUGCGUACACUAUUUAGGCCGCUUACGCAGAACUGGUCACUUUGCGCGUACAUACACUGGCGGUUGGGUUGUACA